AUACGGAGGAUCCGAGCGUUAUCCGGAUUUAUUGGGUUUAAAGGGUGCGCAGGCGGCCAUUUAAGUCAGCGGUUAAAUCGUGGGGCUCAACCCCAUUCUGCCGUUGAUACUGGGUGGCUUGAUUGCGGUCGAGGUUGGCGGAAUUCGUUGUGUAGCGGUGAAAUGCAUAGAUAUGACGAAGAACACCGAUUGCGUAGGCAGCUGACCAGAUCGCAAAUGACGCUCAUGCACGAAAGUGCGGGGAUCGAACAGGAUUAGAUACCCUGGUAGUCCGCACAGUAAACGAUGAAUACUUGUUUUCGGCGAUAUAAUGUCGGAGGCAAAGCGAAAGCGAUAAGUAAUCCACCUGGGGAGUACGCCGGCAACGGUGAAACUCAAAGGAAUUGGCGGGG
rnacentral:rRNA from 1 species